UACAGAGGAGCCAAGCGUUGUCCGGAUUGACUGGGCGUAAAGCGCACGCAGGCGGACGCGCGCGUGGGGUGUGAAAUCUGGCCGCUUAACGGCCAGCGGCCAUCCCAUACGGCGGGUCUGGAGCGAUGCAGAGGUCGGUGGAAUUGCCGGUGUAGUGGUGAAAUGCGUAGAUAUCUGGAGGAACACCGGUGGCGAAGGCGGCAUCCUGGACCGGUAUUGACGCUGAUGCGCGAAAGCCAGGGGAGCAAACGGG
rnacentral:rRNA from 1 species